rnacentral:rRNA from 1 species
UACGAAGGGUGCAAGCGCUACUCGGAAUUACUGGGCGUAAAGCGUGCGUAGGUGGUGAGUUAAGUCUGUCGUGAAAGCCCCGGGCUCAACCUGGGAAUGGCGAUGGAUACUGGCUCGCUAGAGUGCGGUAGAGGAGAGUGGAAUUCCCGGUGUAGCAGUGAAAUGCGCAGAUAUCGGGAGGAACACCAAUGGCGAAGGCAGCUCGCUGGGACGUGACUGACGCUGAGACGCGAAAGCGUGGGGAGCAAACAGG